rnacentral:rRNA from 1 species
UACGGUGGGGGCAAGCGUUGUUCGGAAUUACUGGGCGUAAAGGGCUCGUAGGCGGCCAACUAAGUCAGACGUGAAAUCCCUCGGCUUAACCGGGGAACUGCAUCUGAUACUGGAUGGCUUGAGUUCGGGAGAGGGAUGCGGAAUUCCAGGUGUAGCGGUGAAAUGCGUAGAUAUCGGGAGGAACACCAGUGGCGAAGGCGAUCACCUGGGGUUGUUCUGACGCUGAGGAGCGAAAGCUAGGGGAGCAAACGGG